AUUGAACGCUGGCGGUAGGCCUAACACAUGCAAGUCGAACGGCAGCACGGACUUCGGUCUGGUGGCGAGUGGCGGACGGGUGAGGAAUACAUAGGAAUCUGCCCAGUCGUGGGGGAUAACGUAGGGAAACUUACGCUAAUACCGCAUACGACGGAGACGUGAAAGCAGGGGAUCUUCGGACCUUGCGCGAUUGGAUGAGCCUAUGUCGGAUUAGCUAGUUGGCGGGUAAAGGCCCACCAAGGCGACGAUCCGUAGCUGGUCUGAGAGGAUGAUCAGCCACACUGGAACUGAGACACGGUCCAGACUCCUACGGGAGGCAGCAGUGGGGAAUAUUGGACAAUGGGCGCAAGCCUGAUCCAGCCAUACCGCGUGGGUGAAGAAGGCCUUCGGGUUGUAAAGCCCUUUUGUACGGAAAGAAAGCUUCCAGGUUAAUACCCUGGGAGGAUGACGGUACCGUAAGAAUAAGCACCGGCUAACUUCGUG
rnacentral:rRNA from 1 species